GCCGGGGUGGUGGAACUGGUAGACACGCAGGACUUAAAAUCCUGUGGCGGUAAAACGCCGUACGGGUUCGAUUCCCGUUCCUGGCA
rnacentral:tRNA from 1 species